rnacentral:misc_RNA from 1 species
UGCAUCGAUGAAGAACGCAGCAAAAUGCGAUAAGUAAUGUGAAUUGCAGAAUUCAGUGAAUCAUCGAAUCUUUGAACGCACAUUGCGCCCGCCAGUAUUCUGGCGGGCAUGCCUGUUCGAGCGUCAUUUCAACCCUCAAGCCCUCGGGUUUGGUGUUGGGGAUCGGCGAGCCUUUCUGGCAAGCCGGCCCCGAAAUCUAGUGGCGGUCUCGCUGCAGCCUCCAUUGCGUAGUAGUAAAACCCUCGCAACUGGAACGCGGCGCGGCCAAGCCGUUAAACCCCCAACUUCUGAAUGUUGACCUCGGAUCAGGUAGGAAUACCCGCUGAACUUAAGCAUAUCAAUAAGCGGAGGA